GAAUAAAUUUGGUCAGACUGUUGCUGGUCCCUAGGGGCAUGUGCACGUUUGCCACCAUCUUUAACCACCUGUGCACCUUUUGUAGACUGAAAACAACUCUCGAGGAAACUCGGAUUGAGUACUGCUGUGCGUGAGCCAGCUGUUCUUGUGUUUCUCAGUUUAUGUUCUUAUAUACUCCAUGUGUAUGUAAACGAAUGUAUCAUUAGGCCUCUGUGCCUUUAAAACAAAUACAACUUUCAACAACGGAUCUCUUGGCUCU
rnacentral:misc_RNA from 1 species